CACGUAGGUGCAGUGUAAGUCUCAGGUGAAAUCCCUCGGCUCAACCGAGGAACUGCCUGCGAAACUGCAUUGCUUGAGUCCGGGAGGGGGGAGCGGAAUUCCCAGUGUAGCGGUGAAAUGCGUAGAUACUGGGAGGAACACCGGUGGCGAAGGCGGCUCCCUGGACCGGUACUGACACUGAGGUGCGAAAGCGUGGGUAGCAAACA
rnacentral:rRNA from 1 species